rnacentral:rRNA from 1 species
AUACGGAGGGUGCAAGCGUUAUCCGGAUUUAUUAGGUUUAAAGGGUGUGUAGGCGGGACUCUAAGUCAGUGGUGAAAUCUUCCGGCUCAACCGGAAAACUGCCAUUGAUACUGGUGUCCUUGAGUAUAGUUGAGGUAGGCGGAAUGUGUAAUGUAGCGGUGAAAUGCUUAGAUAUUACACAGAACACCGAUUGCGAAGGCAGCUUACUAAGCUAUUACUGACGCUGAUGCACGAAAGCGUGGGUAGCGAACAGGAUUAGAAACCCCGGUAGUCC